UAACAGUUGGAAACGACUGCUAAUACCGCAUAAUGUCUUCGGACCAAACGGGGCUUCGGCUCCGGCGCAAAGAGAGGCCCAAGUGAGAUUAGCUAGUUGGUGAGGUAACGGCUUACCAAGGCGACGAUCUCUAGCUGUUCUGAGAGGAAGAUCAGCCACACUGGGACUGAGACACGGCCCAGACUCCUACGGGAGGCAGCAGUGGGGAAUAUUGCACAAUGGGGGAAACCCUGAUGCAGCCAUGCCGCGUGUGUGAAGAAGGCCUUCGGGUUGUAAAGCACUUUCAGUUGUGAGGAAAAGUUAGUAGUUAAUACCUGCUAGCCGUGACGUUAACAACAGAAGAAGCACCGGCUAACUCCGUGCCAGCAGCCGCGGUAAUACGGAGGGUGCGAGCGUUAAUCGGAAUUACUGGGCGUAAAGCGCACGCAGGCGGUUUGUUA
rnacentral:rRNA from 1 species